UUUUGAUGGCUGAUGGUGUCGGGUAGAAACACUUGUUUGGAUGUGGAUUUUCCAUGUUCAGGUUUCCCAGGGUGGGGUAAAAGGGAGCGUUUACUCUGCUGCAUCCUGAGUACCUCUUCCUACAGGCUGACGGAUGAGCACUGAGUUUGACCUGAGGCAGCUCAGACUUUCCACAAGAGAUUUGGAGAUUCCAUUCGGAUAGCAGCAUCCUCAGAUCUCACCCCUUCUUUAACCCAGUACCAGUGGCUGAUGGGUAAGCAAACACAUGUGCUAUCAGAGGCUAAAACAGGAUUGUUUAAGGCAUUUUCUCCACGGAGGUGCCAAAAUCGCACUCUGAUCAGACAGGAAGUCCUAUUGCUUGAAAGGAGC
rnacentral:lncRNA from 1 species